rnacentral:rRNA from 1 species
UACGUAGGGGGCUAGCGUUGUCCGGAUUUAUUGGGCGUAAAGAGCGUGUAGGCGGCCAGGUAGGUCUGGUGUGAAAACUCGAGGCUUAACCUCGAGAUGUCAUCGGAAACCAUCUGGCUAGAGUCCGGAAGAGGAGAGUGGAAUUCCUGGUGUAGCGGUGAAAUGCGCAGAUAUCAGGAAGAACACCAAUGGCGAAAGCAGCUCUCUGGGACGGUACUGACGCUGAGACGCAAAAGCGUGGGGAGCGAACAGG